rnacentral:tRNA from 1 species
UGGGGGGUAGAAUGCUUGCCUGGCAUGCAAGAAGCCCUGGGUUCAAUUCCCAGCACUGCAU